rnacentral:rRNA from 1 species
AGCGAACGCUGGCGGCAGGCCUAACACAUGCAAGUCGAGCGCCCCGCAAGGGGAGCGGCAGACGGGAGAGUAACACGUGGGAACGUACCCUUCAGUUCGGAACAACCCAGGGAAACUUGGGCUAAUACCGGAUACGUCCGUAAGGAGAAAGAUUUAUCGCUGAAGGAUCGGCCCGCGUCUGAUUAGCUAGUUGGUGAGGUAAUGGCUCACCAAGGCGACGAUCAGUAGCUGGUCGAGAGGAUGAUCAGCCUCACUGGGACUGAGACACGGCCCAGACUCCUACGGGAGGCAGCAGUGGGGAAUAUUGGACAAUGGGCGCAAGCCUGAUCCAGCCAUGCCGCGUGGAUGAUGAAGGCCUUAGGGUUGUAAAGUCCUUUCGGCGGGGAAGAUAAUGACGGUACCCGCAGAAGAAGCCCCGGCUAACUUCGUGCCAGCAGCCGCGGU